UACGUAGGUGGCGAGCGUUGUCCGGAAUUACUGGGCGUAAAGGGUGCGUAGGCGGAUAUUUAAGUGGGAUGUGAAAUACCUGAGCUCAACUCGGGUGCUGCAUUCCAAACUGGAUAUCUAGAGUGCAGGAGAGGAGAAUGGAAUUCCUAGUGUAGCGGUGAAAUGCGUAGAGAUUAGGAAGAACACCAGUGGCGAAGGCGAUUCUCUGGACUGUAACUGACGCUGAGGCACGAAAGCGUGGGUAGCAAACAGG
rnacentral:rRNA from 2 species